CCUACGGGAGGCUGCAGUGAGGAAUAUUGGUCAAUGGACGAAAGUCUGAACCAGCCAAGCCGCGUGAAGGAUGACUGUGCCAAGCGUUGUAAACUUCUUUUAUCAAGGAAUAAAACGAGGCACGUGUGCCUUUUUGCAUGUACUUUAUGAAUAAGGAUCGGCUAACUCCGUGCCAGCAGCCGCGGUAAUACGGAGGAUCCGAGCGUUAUCCGGAUUUAUUGGGUUUAAAGGGUGCGUAGAUGGGUUGUUAAGUCAGUUGUUAAAGUUUGCGGCUCAACCGUAAAAUUGCAAUUGAUACUGGCAGUCUUGAGUACAGGUGAGGUAGGCGGAAUGCGGGGUGUAGCGGUGAAAUGCUUAGAUAUCGCGAAGAACCCCGAUUGCGAAGGCAGCUUACUAGACUGUGACUGACAUUGAGGCUCGAAAGUGUGGGUAUCAAACAGGAUUAGAUACCCGUGUAGUC
rnacentral:rRNA from 1 species